ensembl:snoRNA
UGCAGCCUUGUCAAAUUCAGUACAUCUUUCCAGAGACUGUACUGGCCAAAAUGGCUGCUACAUUAUGUUUGUAGCUCACAGUCUCCAUAUGCUACGGUGCAAAAUGGGGAUAAAGUGAUGCCACUAACAUUU